UACGUAGGGUGCAAGCGUUGUCCGGAAUUAUUGGGCGUAAAGAGCUCGUAGGCGGUUUGUUGCGUCGGCUGUGAAAUCCCGAGGCUCAACCUCGGGUCUGCAGUCGAUACGAGCAAACUAGAGUGUUGCAGGGGAGACUGGAAUUCCUGGUGUAGCGGUGAAAUGCGCAGAUAUCGGGAGGAACACCAGUGGCGAAGGCGACUUCCUGGCCUGUUCUUGACGCUGAGGCGCGAAAGCUAGGGGAGCAAACGGG
rnacentral:rRNA from 1 species